CACAAACACCUUGUGUAAUGAGAACCUCGGAGAGCUACCUCUCCCUAUAUAUGCUGCAUGCACUGAGGUGCCUUCAAGCCCCGAAGGGACCUGGAACAGCCGGGGAACCUGUCCCAGGGCAACAACGGCCAUCUGAAGGAAAAAAAGAAGCAAAUGGUACCAAGACAAGCUCAUAACAAAGAUCUAAUCAUCAGAUGUGUAUGGAUGAAAACACAGUGAGAUGAGUCAGAGAAUGGCAAAGGACGGCCCUAAGCUCUCCAAGAACCAGAAGUUUUCUGAGCACUUCAGCAUACGCUGCUGCCCUCCGUUCACGUUCCUCAACUCCAAACGCGAGAUCGUGGACCGUAAAUACAGCAUCUGCAAGAGCGGCUGCUUCUACCAGAAGAAAGAAGAGGACUGGAUAUGCUGUGCCUGCCAGAAGACCAGCACCAGACGCCGCGCAACGUCCCCUCAGAGGCCCAAGCUGCAGCCAGCUGCACCCCCCGCAGUGGUCAGAGCACCGGCCAAGCCAAGGUCCCCUCCAAGGACUGAGCGCCAACCACGCCCCCGCCCAGAAGUCCGACCACCACCAGCCAAGCCACGCCCCCCUCAGAAGCCCAAGCAACAGCCGCGCAGCUCCCCCCUCAGAGGUCCAGGCACCAGCCGUGGGGGUUCCCCCGUCAAAGCUUCUAGGUUCUGGUAACACCAUUUCUUCCCUUUUGUUACCCCUGUCUUAAGAUUGAAAAGGAGGAUCAAGCCACCUACGAGGAAGAAGUGACCAAGGUGGGAUUUCAGGUGAAUGGAUGGUCUCAGGUCUUAGACUCACGGCUUCUCAACCCACAUGCCUUUGGACAAGUUAUCUGGCUUCGAAUAUGAUGCAGGGACAGACACCUGCUGAUGUGACAACUGCAGAUGCCCCCAGCCCCCUUGGUGUAGGGGCUGUGGGACAACCUGCUGGAGGUUUCUUCAAUCUGAAGAUAUACAUAUUUUUCUUCAGGGAUAUGCAAAAUAAAAAAUAUUGCUGCACCAUCAACACAAUCGAGAAAAUGAAAAAUGGAAGGAUGUGAAGAUAAAGUCUCAUAAGUUACUCAGGGGAGUUUGUAAAUUGUAACAUCACCUUUGAAACAUAAUCCUGGGAUACUAGUAAGGCAGGCUACUUUCAUGACCUAUGACCAAGCAAUUAUGCUUUUAGAUACCCAUGCCAGAUAAAAUUUGCAUUAAUAGAAAAAAAUAGAUGCACAUAAAACGUAUAAGUAAAGAGCUGUUUGUCCUUGGGGAAAACAUCACCACCACCACCACCACCACCACCACCACCACCACCAUCACCAUCACCACCACCACCACCACCACCAGCCAAAUACACAGAGGAAAAAAAUAAUAAGCUAGAAGUCAGCAAGAAGAGAAUGAGUGGAUCAAUUCUGGUAUAUUCAUAAUAUCCUAAGCAGUAGUUAAACUGAAUAAACCUGAGGUACCCACAUUAGGCAGAUAAAUUGGGGGAAUCAUGCGAAAUACAAAGGACCAAACAAAAGAAGGCAAAAUCUACUGCCACAGAGUCAAUCCUUUCUCACAGUUCCCUUGUAGAGCGUUUCUGAGGCUAUGGAUCUUGACAGGAGCAAAUAGCCUCAUUUUUCUCUUGUGGAGCUAUCGGUGGUCUUGAACUGUUGACUUGUGGUGAAGAGUCCAGUGCUUAGGCAACAGUAUUACUAGAGUUCCCUAAAAGAAAAAAAAUAGAGGAUAACAAAUACCAUAUAAAACUCUAAACAUAACAGUUAACAACUCAUGCAAACAUGACCUAUUUCCCAAGAAGCAGAGCCUGUGAAAUCUCAUGCGCUACAAGACAAAAGAACCAAAGUUAACAACCAUCUAAAAGGACAGCCACAACUAUUUAUCCUUUAGGAAAUAAAAAGAGACUUGAAAUAACUCUUGACUUAAAUAACCUUACAAAGCCUCUAUUUAAAUGGCAGACAAUACUGGUCAGUCACAGUUUCGUGUGGAGAGUCUGGUGAUACGUCUGCCGUCUCUCCUUGAUAACCAUCCUAAGGAAACAAACAUAUUAGAUUUGAGUAAGUUUUGGAUCUUAGCUGGUGGCUGUGGUUUCUGACAUGUUGGGAAAAGGGGAUGAGUUGGAAUAGACACACCUCUCACCAAAUCUUCCUUUACUAACAAGUAGGAAAACACCGCAGAAGAUCACAGGAUGUUGUAGAGCGUGGAGCAAUGUAAGACGGAGAGUUAAGCAGGGGGGAACUCAGAGUAUAGGAAGAAGAGGAGAUCAGAGUCGUUCUGUGCUCGUACCUGGUGUGGCCAAACACAGCUAGAUGCUCAAAGGCCCAGUAGGGCUUGAAGUUAGCACAGCCAGACAUAGCCACGUUUCAGAUGCAAAUAGAAAUAUGGAGGCAAUGUCAGAGCAAGUUCAGUUCUAGGUAUGGGCUGAAGGGAAAGGAAAUGCCAUCGAGUUAGGAUAAAGAGUGGUCAACUCAGGUGAGCAAUGCUUCAGAUACCACACCAGCCCCUUAGCAGUUAGAGCGCAAGGCCACAGUGUCCUGGCUUCCUCACUUGGAGAGGUCAAGGCUCUGUACUUUCAGGUGCUAAAACAACAAUAAAAUAUGAGCCUCUACUAUGGCAGCUUCAACAAGGAGAUCUCUGAGACCACCACCUUUCUGGAAAUAACAGGGGUGUGGGCAUGGGGCAUCAUGACAGCUGACCGGCUAGUGAGAACAAAUUACUGGUCCAGUCCUACACAGAUCCAAAAGAGACACGUAACAUCCCUUUGAGCCUUUUCAGAUUUUGACAAAACUAUACUUGUUGGGCUCUGUGCUCCAUGCCACCCAGAAGGCACCGAAUUAUUAUAGAAUACAAGACUGAGGAGCAGGGAAGCAAAGGAUGCAUUCCUUCAUCCCCCAAAUUGGAUCAUAGCCCAGAAACUCUGGUAACCAGAAAUGCUGGAAUUCUCUAUGUUUGUCUAUUGUGGAAACAAACCUUCUGGAGAAGAAUAAAAUGUAUCUGAAAACUACCUGAAACUGAUGAAUAAUAAAAUGUAACGUACUUGGCUAUUAUAACAUACGCUAAAUCUGCCUAAUUAUAAUAAGUAUUUUUUGCCUUUUAAAUCUGGGGAGCACUACACAGUAAACAUUGGGGAAAGGAUAUAAAGUUUUAAAAGCGGUUUUAUGGAAAAUUCUUCAGUGGGGAUUUUCAACCAGAAUGCCCUGCAUGUUAUGCUAAUAAUUCUGGAGGUCGAUUGAUUUUAUGUUGUGAUAUUUGGACUGGUUUUGGGAGCACUGAGUAGCAUCCUCAGAUUUGUGCUGAUUCAUAUUUAACCACUGGCUCUCUGAGUGGAAAGUUCUGAUUUGUAGUACUUACUGAUCUCCAUGGUGUAAAUACUUCCACUAUGACUAAUUUCAAGCGAUGAUUAAUUUCACUGCAGAACUGGGAAAAGAGGUGCACUAUCGACUUGUGAGCUGGACAGGGCAGCUCCACUGCACCCCUACAUUCAGGCCAGCUCCACUGCACCCCUACAUGCACUCACAUGCCUCUGUGAAACUAGAGUUUACUACUAAAAAUUCUUUCCCAUAAAUAUACCACUGCAUUAGUGAAAGGCAAAAAAUACAGAGGGAAAAUGAGAUAAAUUCAAAGUGGGGAGCUUAAGUAGGGAAAUUUGACAGAGGAUUUGUGAGAAAUGGUGUUUGUCUAUACUCUUCACUCUGUUAUUAUCUUUUAUUAAAUAUAAGCGGUAUCUA